AAUUAACGCAGCAUGGAUGGUUCCCUCGUGCCGAGGUGGGGCGAGGGAGUAAAUGGGAAUGUGACGGGGCGGACCCAUGCCGGGCGCCCUUAUCGCAGCCGACCCCGCGACUGUAGAACGGUCAGGGUUCGCCAUCGGGGAUUUUGCCGGUUUCGAGGCGCUGCAUGGGGCAGUUUCGUCGAACCUCGGCAGGAUACCGGAAAAGCCACUGGCGUGGCAUCGCGAUCAGCCGGGCAGGACGCCUCUUCUUCUACGAAUCGUCCGCCUUUCGCGAUGCCGCAGACGCCGGGAAGGCGAGGCGAACCGUUCGGUCUUCUGCGCAUCGUUUUCCGGACCGGAUCGGUCCGUCGGAAACGUGCGGACGAGGACCGUGGCGCCGUGAGCCAGGAGACCUGCCAUCCGUCAGGGUAUUCCG
rnacentral:ncRNA from 1 species